rnacentral:rRNA from 1 species
UACGAAGGGGGCUAGCGUUGCUCGGAAUUACUGGGCGUAAAGGGAGCGUAGGCGGGUUAUCAAGUUGGGGGUGAAAGCCCGGGGCUCAACCUCGGAAUUGCCUUCAAAACUGAUAACCUGGAGUAUGGAAGAGGUAAGUGGAACUCCGAGUGUAGAGGUGAAAUUCGUAGAUAUUCGGAAGAACACCAGUGGCGAAGGCGACUUACUGGUCCAUUACUGACGCUGAGGCUCGAAAGCGUGGGGAGCAAACAGGG